rnacentral:ncRNA from 1 species
UGAGCUGGGGAGCUUGUGAUACAGGCUGAGAGGAAGUUGAGAGAACUUCGACCCUUGUAACCUGAUUUGGGUAAUGCCAACGUAGGGAGUCG